GGAACCCCACAGUCAAGGCUCCAGGACUUCAAGGGAUUGCACUUGAUGUAUCAAUUACGUCUCUGUUGCUACAGCAAAACGCCAUGGUCAGAGCAACCUAUGGAAGGAGCCUUAGGACCUUAGGAUUCCAGAAGAACAAGAGAGCCCACGAUGGCAGAGGAGAGGCCAGGCAACAAGCAGCAGGUGCAGGGCCAAAACCCAACUCCAGUGACACACUUCCGCCAGCAAAGUCACUCUGAACAUCACAGACAGUACCUGCUAGCCUUCUGUCCAAACUCCUCCCCACAGUUACCUGGCAACAGCCAGGUAGGCCUGGCCCACUAUAAAAGGGGCUGCUCGCCAUCUCUGUCUCUCUGUCUCUCUCUCUCUUGCCUUCUUUCCUUCCUUUCUUGCCUCUUGCUCUCUUGUUCCCUCUCUCUCCCCAUUCCCUUCCCCCACCUCCACGUGGUCAUGUCUGGCCUCUACUUCUGUGGCCCGUAGUCCAUCUCUGUCAAUAAAG
rnacentral:lncRNA from 1 species